UAUUUGAGCUAAUCGUUUCUUCCUCCCACACCAAUGGGGCUUUCAAGUAUAUAGUUAAGUGGAAAGACCAAAAUGAUCCGGAAGAAGUUUUGGCUUCUCAUUUUAAUCUGACACAUCCUCAAAUCGUCAUCAGUUACUUGGAAAAAAGGAUUGUUGCAAAUGAGAAUUCGCUCAACGGACAUACACCUACAAUACAAUCAACAACAACACUACCAGCACCACCAACAACAACACCACCACAAUAGGUAUGGUAUGUAUAGGUAUAGGUAGCAAUGGGAGGAAGAAGGGAAGAACGAAUAACGAAGAACGAAUGGAAAGACAAAGGGAGAGUAAAAAAGAGAGGGACCGACCCCUUUCUUCCCCACUCUAUUUAUCCCUUCCUUGACUGUCCUUCCUUUUGUACCCUUUUCUUAUGGACAACGUCAAUGCUUUUUCGUUUGAGGUUGCACCAAACCGGGGGUAAAAGCUAACCAAG